rnacentral:rRNA from 1 species
AACGAACGCUGGCGGCAUGCCUAACACAUGCAAGUCGAACGAGACCUUCGGGUCUAGUGGCGCACGGGUGCGUAACGCGUGGGAAUCUGCCCUUGGGUUCGGGAUAACAGUUGGAAACGACUGCUAAUACCGGAUGACGUCUUCGGACCAAAGAUUUAUCGCCAAGGGAUGGGCCCGCGUCGGAUUAGCUAGUUGGUAGGGUAAAAGCCUACCAAGGCGACGAUCCGUAGCUGGUCUGAGAGGAUGAUCAGCCACACUGGGACUGAGACACGGCCCAGACUCCUACGGGAGGCAGCAGUGGGGAAUAUUGGACAAUGGGCGAAAGCCUGAUCCAGCAAUGCCGCGUGAGUGAUGAAGGCCUUAGGGUUGUAAAGCUCUUUUACCCGGGAUGAUAAUGACAGUACCGGGAGAAUAAGCCCCGGCUAACUCCGUGCCAGCAGCCGCAGUAA